rnacentral:misc_RNA from 1 species
CAACCCUUCGGCCCUGGCUGUGUUCGUCAGAACCGGUUGGGUUCCGGUCAUGGGCUUGGUCAGGUAAUGCUGACCCGGCUCCAAAGUGGCACGCUCCAGCGGUAUAACCCAAUCAGGUCCAAAGAGACGUAGUAAGCUUCUGGCUGACUGUCUCGUUUCAACCGGAUGGGCUAAACAACCGCCUGAACAAAUCUUUCUACCAAG